GGGCAGCCGUCAAGCAGCGGCAGCGGCAUUUUCCUCUCCAGUCGGUUUUCUGUUAGUUGACUGGUAGAGGUGAGCAGCAACCAGCCUUCCUCUCCCCAGCCACUGCGGACAGCGGUCGCAGCUCCCUGUCCAGGAGAGGCGAACCACAACAAACCGACGCGUGCUGGAGGAGGUUCUCCUCUUCCACCUUUCUCCUCCUCUUUCUCCUCUGUCCCUCCUCCUAUCUUCCUGCUGCACAUUCGUCCCGCGAUUCCUCCAGCCCUGGACGUUCCAGACUCAAGAUAAUGAAAUCAAGAAGCUUUGGAUCGUUCUUCUUGCUGCUUGAGAUUUAUUUGUCAACUACCCUGGGAUGGAUGCGUUCAGAGACAAGCAGGAGUGUUCCCUCAGAUGUGGGAGGGCUGAAAAAGAAGGAAUUUAGAAACCUUGAAGUCACAAGAAGAAAAGAUUUUGGUCAAAUUACAGGUAUUGACUUGCUUCUGAGACAUGGAUCAGCCCAUCUGAAGCUUUGGUAGCAGGCAGCUCGGCCACCCCCAUUCCUCCCUGGACUGAGCAUCUGGGAUCAUCCUCAAAAAUUUGAGAGACACUGCUCCUGAUGUGGAUUGGACUGAUAUAGGGGAGUGGGAAAGUGGUUGAAUUAUUGCUAAAAUUUUAACUGUAUUACUGUGUUUAAGAUUUGUUAAAAGUAUUUAAAUAUUGCUGUAUGUUUGAGGGAUUUUUAGGAAACUUACUGUACUAGUCUAUUAUAUAUAGCAAUUUUGAUUCACUCUUUGGUUUUAUAUGUGCAAUGGUCAUUUGAUAAUUCCUUUUCUUGAGAAAAAAAGAUAGGAAGAAACUGGAAGAAAUUGGGGAAACUGAUGUAUUUUUCUUAGGCACUUCUGCCCCACCCCCUAUCUCAUUAAUUCUGAUUGAGUUGGAAAUUAUUUAAUUGGUCCUUUUCCUUUUUACUCCUUGCUUAAAAUUUCCUGGACUAUGAUUUGCUGGUUAUGUUUUAACUUUGAAAUCCCUUAUUCUGCUGGAAUUGCCCUGGCAGACUCAGUUUUGGGGAUUAUUUUUUUUUAGAAACAACCAGAAAUCAGACACCUGUCUGGGGACUGGCAAUCUCUCUGAUUUCUUUAUCCACUUCUGUUACCCUAGUUUCUUAAUUAGUAGUUCAGCAUUGUGAUAUCAGGCCUCUGAUAGUUAGGGGUUGCCUGCCUUGGUCUAACUGUGCAUAAUCUUUUCAGAAAUCUGUUUCCUAGUAGCAGCUCCUGUUCUGUCAGAGGGGACAGGUGGAGCUACUCCAAGCCCCACUUUUUCCCCUUUUGGAGUCCCUGACAGACUUGGGGUGCCCUCUUAGGAUGGGCAACAGGACUGUCUUGAGCACUGUUAUUCCCUAUAUAAGCAGAGGCUGAGUUAAAUGCACAAAUGACCACAGACCUAACUCACAGUGAACUGUCCAUCUCAAACUGGAUUCUCUGGCUGAGAUGCUCCCCAACUACAGAGAACCUGCUAUUUCUGCAACAGGGAGGCCUGUGUACUUCCUUAAAUAAGAAAUGCUGUUUUAUGCUAAUAACCCUGGAGUUAUCAAGGAGAGAUUUGUCCUUGCCAUUUGUCUUUGCAUUUUUCUCAUUUUAUUUUGGUUUAUUUGCUUUACAUAGGAUUGGUCAAAAUUAUGAUGCUAAGACCUUCUAGAGGAAGGUAAUUCAAUGAUUUGAAUAUUCAGAAGAGAGAAUGUGUGGAAUGUUAUGCCACAGUUCUCUUUUAAUUUUCUAAUUAUCCUGACCCAGUCCUGCCUCGGUUUCCCUAAGUAUUCUGCUUCAGUUUAUAAUUUUCUGUUCAGUCCUGUGAAACUACCCGUCUCUUAAUCAGAAUAUUUCAUAAGGAUAAAAGAUCUUAUGUUUUAGAAUAUCAGAAUGCCUUUCCCCAUCCCAAGCUAUUAGAAUAUCAGAUACUGUUAUCUCCUGGGUGCCUCCUCCCAUCUCUGAUGGCUCAUCCCACCCUGUCAGAGUCCCAUUCUUGCUCUCAGCACCCUGAUUCUGCCCCUGCCUCAGUCUACUCCUCUGAGUCUGAGCCGUGUGUGUGUGUGUAUGUAUGUAUAUAUGUCAUUGAGAACUCACAUUGUUUGUUGGAUUCUUGGAGACAAUAGUCUCAUUCAGCCCUGGGACCAAACCAUGGAUCCAUUUGGUCCCAGUAAAUCUCUCCUUUUCAAAUAAAAUAUUAAAUACUCUCUAA